UGCCGACGUCGGGGUGGCCGUUCAGCAGCCGAGACUCAAGCUGUGGCCCAAGUCAAGGAAGGAUAUUUGGAGUUGGGUGUGGUGUUGCCUGUGCCUGUACUUCAGCUACUUGGGAGGCUGAGGCGGGAGGAUGGCUUGAGCCCAAGAUGUCCAGGCUGCAGUGAGCCGUGAUUGCACUGCUGCCCUCCAGCCUGGACGACAGAGCCAGACCCUGUCUCUUAAUUAAAGGAAAGAAGAAAUGGAGGUGUCCUAGCAGGUGCUGCCCGUGGGGAGGUUCCUCCAGGAUGAAGCCUGGAAAUGAACGUGGGAGGGCGUGAGUGGACAGAGGAGGACGAAAGACAGCAAGCCGCAGGGUGGGAGGCCCUGAAAAAUGUCGCAGAUGCCGUGUGUGGGUGGCGCAGUGGGAGACGCUGCCUGCCCCCCUGGCUGGAGGGCUUCCUGGGCAGGGCGGGUGUGGCCUCUUCUCCUGACCCUGGUCCCUCCUCUCCGUCGCUGAGAGAUCUGCGAGAGCCGGGAGUGAACACAGCUCGAUAAUACGUUAACUUUUAUCAUUGUGGUAGAACAUACAUAAUGUAAACCUUACCAUUUUAACCAUUUUCAAAUGUACAUUUCACUGGCAUUAAAGUCAC
rnacentral:lncRNA from 10 species